GGAGACUGCAGCUCAGGGGUAGAGUGUGUGCUUAGCAUGCACAAGGUCCUGGGUUCAAUCCCUAGUACCUCCG
rnacentral:tRNA from 1 species